GGGAAAUUAAACGAGUUCACAUUUCCCUAACUAAUUUGCGUCGCAUAAACAAAAAUGAAAAAUGUUCCGGAACUAAUUUGUACGAUCUAUAAAAAGCAAGGACCAGAACCAGAAGAAUACAACUUAAGAGGAAGUCUUGAGAUCCUAUCACUAUGAGCUUGGCAAGCCUUAUUAAAAUUUGCGCUAUCGUUUUUAUUGCGGGAAGUCCACCUCCCCCACAUUGCGGUAAAUGCCAUUCAACUAUUUCUUCAUAUUAGAGCAGGGCACAACGGUAUUGGAAUACUUUUUAGGCUGCGUUUUCAAACCACAUAUCUGUUUUCGAGCAUAACUUAUGCUUUAGUUUGGUAUGAUCUACACGUUUUGUAAGACCUUGUAAACAAUUAAAAAUAUGUAGUAUUCCAAAA